CCUACGGGAGGCAGCAGUGGGGAAUAUUGGACAAUGGGGGCAACCCUGAUCCAGCCAUGCCGCGUGUGUGAAGAAGGCCCUCGGGUUGUAAAGCACUUUCAGUGAGGAAGAACGCCUGGUGGUUAAUACCCAUCAGGAAAGACAUCACUCACAGAAGAAGCACCGGCUAACUCCGUGCCAGUAGCCGCGGUAAUACGGAGGGUGCGAGCGUUAAUCGGAAUUACUGGGCGUAAAGCGCGCGUAGGUGGCUUGAUAAGCCGGUUGUGAAAGCCCCGGGCUCAACCUGGGAACGGCAUCCGGAACUGUCAAGCUAGAGUGCAGGAGAGGAAGGUAGAAUUCCCGGUGUAGCGGUGAAAUGCGUAGAGAUCGGGAGGAAUACCAGUGGCGAAGGCGGCCUUCUGGACUGACACUGACACUGAGGUGCGAAAGCGUGGGUAGCAAACAGGAUUAGAUAUCCCAGUAGUC
rnacentral:rRNA from 1 species